GACAGAGGGUGCAAACGUUGUUCGGAAUUACUGGGCGUAAAGCGUGUGUAGGCGGCUUUGCAAGUCGGAUGUGAAAGCCCCGGGCUCAACCCGGGAAGUGCACCCGAUACUGCAGAGCUCGAGUGUCGGAGAGGUUGGUGGAAUUCUCGGGUGUAGAGGUGAAAUUCGUAGAUAUCGAGAGGAACACCGGUGGCGAAGGCGGCCAACUGGACGAACACUGACGCUGAGACACGAAAGCGUGGGGAGCAAACAGG
rnacentral:rRNA from 1 species